rnacentral:rRNA from 1 species
AAUGAACGCUGGCGGCGCGCCUAAUACAUGCAAGUCGAGCGAGAAGACGUAGCAAUACGUUUGUAAAGCGGCGAACGGGUGAGGAAUACAUGGGUAACCUACCCUAGAGUGGGGAAUAACUAGCCGAAAGGUUAGCUAAUACCGCGUACGCUCCUUGGACUUCGGUUCAGGGAGGAAAGCGAUGCCGAGGUAUCGCGCUCUUGGAUGGGCUCAUGUCCUAUCAGCUUGNGGUGAGGUAACGGCUCACCAAGGCUUCGACGGGUAGCUGGUCUGAGAGGACGAUCAGCCACACUGGCACUGCGAC